rnacentral:rRNA from 1 species
CCUACGGGCGGCAGCAGUGGGGAAUAUUGGGCAAUGGGCGAAAGCCUGACCCAGCAACGCCGCGUGAAGGAUGAAGGCUUUCGGGUUGUAAACUUCUUUUGACAGGGAAGAGCAGAAGACGGUACAUGUAGAAUAAGCCACGGCUAACUACGUGCCAGCAGCCGCGGUAAUACGUAGGUGGCAAGCGUGGUCCGGAUUUACUGGGGGUAAAGGGCGUGUAGCCGGGCUGACAAGUCAGAUGUGAAAUCCGGGGGCUCAACCCCCGAACUGCAUUUGAAACUGUUGGUCUUGAGUAUCGGAGAGGCAGGCGGAAUUCCUAGUGUAGCGGUGAAAUGCGUAGAUAUUAGGAGGAACACCAGUGGCGAAGGCGGCCUGCUGGACGACAACUGACGGUGAGGCGCGAAAGCGUGGGGAGCAAACAGGAUUAGAUACCCCUGUAGUC